CACACCAGUGUUAGCAACCCGCCAGAGCCCCAGGGCCAGAAUUUCCUAACCGCUGCCGACAGUUAAAGGCGCGGCUGUGGUGGGAGGAGAAGCCCAAGCCCGGGAGUAGCUCGGCCACACUGGAGGUCUCAGCCACAGCUGCCUUCACUUUCGUUUCCCGGGGAUCCUGGGUCUGUGGUCACCGCGGUUUCGUUUCCGAGGCGUGGCGGAGGGCGCGGCCCGGGACACCCAUGGCCCUAAUAAGCCGCCCUCGAGCCCCACUGUGGCUCGGGCGUCUGUCGCGGAGGCUGUGCGGGCGACACCAGGCCUGCAUGGGGACCAUGGCUCGGCCGCGGCGCUUCACUGUGGAGCUGCCAGAUUGCUCCCUGACUCACUUCGUCCUGGGGGAUGCAACAGACCACAGGGAUGCACGCCUGGCAGAGCUGCUCGGCCCCCCAGGGCGCAGCUACGCGCUGUGUGUGCCCCUGGCUCCAGGCGAAGGCUGCGGGCCCCGGGUGCAGGCGGCCCGGGUGCACCAUCGCCUGCUGCAGCAGCUGCGCCGGGGUCCUUUACAGAGAUGCCAACUGAGCAAGCUUCUGGGCUAUGGUCCGGGCGAUCAGGCCGGCGAAGCCCAGCAUGGCUUCCUGCUGCGGGACCCUUGCGACCACCCGGACACUCGGCGCGACUUGCUCCAGCUUCUGGGCUCCUGCCAGGAGGCGGCGCGCCCGCAGUUGGCCGAGUUCCAGGCCGACUCCCAGGGUUUGCUGUGGCAGCGUCUGUGGGAGUUGCAGGGAGACAGGCAGGUGCAGGUGGACUGCGCAUGCGUCCUGCCGGCACAGGAACCUCAUCUGCACCCAUUGCUGCCAGAUCUGCUUAACUCUGCGGUGUUCCAAGACCGGGACGCGGCAAGGGCUGUCUUGGAAGAGUGCACAUCCUUUAUUCCAGAAGCCCGGGCAGUACUUGACCUAGUUGACCAGUGCCCAAAGGAGGUCCAGAAAGGGAAGUUCCAGGUCAUUGCCAUUGAAGGACUGGAUGCCACUGGUAAGACCACACUGACGCAGUCAGUGUCAGAGUCUCUCAAGGCUGUCCUCCUACAGUCGCCACCCCCCUGUAUCAGCCAGUGGAGGAAGAUCUUUGAUGAUGAACCUACUAUCAUUCGAAGAGCCUUUUAUUCUUUGGGCAAUUAUCUCGUGGCUUCUGAAAUAGCUAAAGAAUCAACCAACUUUCCUGUUAUUGUAGACAGGUGGGUAGCAAGAUGCCUUCUCCCUAAAAUGUGACUCACUCUCUUCUUCUGCAUAUAUAUCCAGGUGCUCAACUGUGAACAUGUGUUACGAUUACAAGAGGAAUACUGUCUAUGAUUUAUUAACUGCAUCAUACUAAUACCUGGAAUAGUGCCUUGGGUACUGGCAUAGCACAGCCACCUACGCCAUAGCUACUGAGGUGAGUGGAGGCCUACAGUACCUACCCCCUGCCCACCACCCUGUGUACCAGUGGCCAGGGGACCUGCUGAAGCCCGACUUGGUCCUGCUGCUGACUGUGAAUUCUGAGGAGAGAGUGCGGAGACUGCAGGGCCGGGGUCAGGAGAAAACUAAAGAAGAGGCUGAACUUGAGGCCAAUAAUGUGUUUCGUCAGAAGGUGGAAAUGACGUACCAGCGUAUGGAGAACCCAAGCUGCCAUCUGGUGGAUGCCAGCCCCUCGAGAGAGACAGUCCUGCAGAAGGUUUUAGAGCUGAUCCAGAGUUCUGGUCGUUAAUUGUAGUUGUUCUGGCCAUGUUCCUCAUUACACCGGAGAAGCUGUGUGAUGCCCCGAAACCCAUCACUUGCCAUGCAGCUUCUUAGAUUUAGGGGGUAUGAGCAUAUUUGGUGGAAAAAAAAAACUGGGGACUGAGCAGUUUGCUUUCCUUCUGACUGACUGAGCCAGCUGCGGCUGCUGAUUCAUUUCUGCCUGGCCAUGUACCAACUUCUUGGGAUAUAUUUUAACACCCCGACUUUCUGAUCCAGUGGUGAGCCUGCUGGAGGACUUUCUGCAGCUGGAAGCUAAGGAUGUCAGUUUUGGCCCACACUGAUCAAUUGUGAUGAGCUAGCAUCAUUUGUUUUUACCCCAAACCCGAUAACUAAGGACUAUCACAGAGCCUGGCUAUCCGAGGACAUUCCUUUGGAGCUAUUCAUGGGUGGAGACACUUGGAAAGAAGCCAUUGCUCUUAAUUCAGAGGAUCAAAGAACACCUUGGACAGUGCCCUGAGUGAGUGCCUUGGCACUGAUAGAUGUGUGCCCCUGAACUGCAAGCGCUGCAAACCCCUCUUGUUCUCUUUUGCGUGUCUGUAUCUGUAUUCCGUUUCUCAGCUCUGCAAUCCCGUUCUAAGUGUAACGAGCAGGCUGUGCUGAUCGGGAUGCGCUGCACACCAAUUUGUUUCUGUUGAUGUUUACAUCAUGCGUUUCCUCGGUGUAGGAGCUGUGUGUGAGUCACUCACACAAACGGAGGCCAAGGAGCUAAAUGCAGCGUUUGCUCAAUGUUUUCACCACACAAAUUUAAUUUAUCUUAAUAAGCACCGUGGAUUCUGGAACGAGACUUCGUAGUAAAUUAUCAUGCACUUUGAAUGUCUUCUGAUUGCAUGUGAAGUCAGCUUCGAGGGCUCUUGAGAUAGAGAAUAGAGCUGUGGAGGAGAAGCCUGGUGGCUCUGUAGCCUUGGCUUAGUCAUUUAACGUUGAUAAUGUCAACAGUUUGAUCUGAAAGGGGGCAGUUGGUGGUCCUCUAGAAAUAUUUACUUGGGAGGCCAAGAAAGGAGAAUUGAAAGCUCUAGGUUUAAGUUUAGAACUAGCCUGGGCAGUGGAGUAAGACCUUGUCUCAGGAUAAAAACUACAAAGAGGACUAGGGGUGAAACUCCAUAGUAGAACAUGGUAUUGAAUAUUCUAUCCUUGGGUUCAGAAUCUGGGGUCCAUUCCCAGUACCAUAAGAAUAAAAAUAUAAACAGAAAAACAAACAAGUAAACAAUAAAAGGAAUUAAGUCAUAUUUGGUCACAAGAAGGUGGCUGGACCAGACUAUUAUUUAACAUUCCAGUUCAAAUGUUGAUGCCUCUCUACAUCAUUUUUGAUCCCACAUCCCAUUUCUUAAGAAGAAUCUGUUCCCAAGUAACUAUAUUAAAUUACAUGAAAGCCUUCUAAGGUUUACCCUAAUCUUAAACUAUAAUAAGAUUUAAUAUUAACAUCUCAAUAUUUUUCACCUUGGGACUAUGUAUAACUUAUAAAUAAUGUGUCCAUGUAUAUAAAUAUAUUCUUGGCUUCUGUUAAACAUAUUUUUAAGCUGAUAAAUAACAUUAAGGCUCUCUGUAAUGUGGCAGCUAAUUCCACAAAGGGUUUUGUUCAAGCCUCUCUGAGAUGAUUGCACCAGAGGCUGAAUAGGAAGUCGUAGUGCUUUCUUCAUGAAACCUGACAGUGAAUAAACUUGCUCUGACAUUCCUAA